rnacentral:sRNA from 1 species
GGAUGUGACACUCCCUUUCAAGCCUCCAAGGGCACUCUUCCUGAAACUGCCUCUGUGGUUGAGGAGGAUCACCUUCUCAGAGAGAGGAGAAUAGUUCUUUGACCAAGAGCAUUCAAGGAGCUGAAAUUUCCUGCUAGAACCUUUAGAACCCUUAGUCCGCAGUCAGGAGGGUUCUUGUGAUCUUGGACUAAGAACAAACUUGCUUAACCAGAUAUGAAAAUAAAACAGUAUGAGGUAAAAAUGAGUUAAUUAAUUUUGCUGUAUUUUAAAUUUU